rnacentral:rRNA from 1 species
AACGCGAAGAACCUUACCUGGGCUCGAAAUGCUACGGACCAGCUUAUGAAAGUUUGCCUUCCCGCAAGGGACCGUAGUAUAGGUGCUGCAUGGCUGUCGUCAGCUCGUGUCGUGAGAUGUUGGGUUAAGUCCCGCAACGAGCGCAACCCUUGUCCUGUGUUGCCAUACCGAAAGGUGGAACUCGCAGGAGACCGCCAGGGAUAACCUGGAGGAAGGUGGGGAUGACGUCAAGUCCUCAUGGCCUUUAUGUCCAGGGCUACACACGUGCUACAAUGGUAGGUACAAAGGGUUGCUAAUCCGCAAGGUGGAGCCAAUCCCAUAAAGCCUAUCGUAGUCUGGAUCGGAGUCUGCAACUCGACUCCGUGAAGUCGGAAUCGCUAGUAAUCGUAGAUCAGCAUUGCUACGGUGAAUACGUUCCCGGGCCUUGUACACACCGCUGUA